rnacentral:rRNA from 1 species
GAUAAACGCUGGCGGCGUGCAUAACACAUGCAAGUCGAACGAUGAAGUUUUCAUGAAUUCUUCGGAAUGAUUAAAAAUGGAUUAGUGGCGGACGGGUGAGUAACGCGUGAGUAACCUGCCUUGUACAAGGGGAUAGCCGUUGGAAACGACGAAUAAUACCCUAUGAUAUCAAAUAAUCGCAUGAUAAUUUGAUCAAAGAUUUAUCGGUAUAAGAUGGACUCGCGUCUGAUUAGCUAGUUGGCGGGGUAAC